CACGUAGGGCGCGAGCGUUGUCCGGAUUUAUUGGGCGUAAAGAGCUCGUAGGCGGUCUGUUGCGUCGGCUGUGAAAACCCGGGGCUCAACUCCGGGCCUGCAGCCGAUACGGGCAGACUAGAGUUCGGCAGGGGAGACUGGAAUUCCUGGUGUAGCGGUGAAAUGCGCAGAUAUCAGGAGGAACACCGGUGGCGAAGGCGGGUCUCUGGGCCGAUACUGACGCUGAGGAGCGAAAGCGUGGGGAGCGAACAGG
rnacentral:rRNA from 1 species